ACUACAUGAAGCUGGAAUCGCUAGUAAUCGCGGAUCAGAAUGCCGCGGUGAAUACGUUCCCGGGUCUUGUACACACCGCCCGUCACACCAUGGGAGUCGGAAAUGCCCGAAGUCUGUGACCCAACCGGAAGGAGGGAGCAGCCGAAGGCAGGUCGGAUGACUGGGGUGAAGUCGUAACAAGGUACC
rnacentral:rRNA from 1 species